GCGCGAAAACUUUACAAUGCGAGAAAUCGUGAUAAGGGAACCCCGAGUGCCCGUAAAUUCGGGCUGUCCAUCAGUGCAAAAAACUGGUGAAGAAAGAGCCGGGCAAGACCGGUGCCAGCCGCCGCGGUAAUACCGGCGGCUCGAGUGGUGGCCACUAUUACUGGGCUUAAAGCGUCCGUAGCUUGGUUGUUAAGUCUCCUGGGAAAUCCAUCGGCUCAACCGAUGGGCGUUCAGGAGAUACUGGCAACCUAGGGACCGGGAGAGGUGAGAGGUACUCCAGGGGUAGGAGUGAAAUCUCGUAAUCCUUGGGGGACCACCGAUGGCGAAGGCAUCCCACCAGAACGGGUCCGACGGUGAGGGACGAAAGCUGGGGGCACGAACCGGAUUAGAUACCCGGGUAGUCCCAGCCGUAAACGAUGCUCGCUAGGUGUCAGGUGCGGUGCGACCGCAUCUGGUGCCGUAGUGAAAACUUGAAGCGAGUCACCUGGGAAGUACGGUCGCAAGGCUGAAACUUAAAGGAAUUGGCGGGGGAGCACUACAACGGGUGG
rnacentral:rRNA from 1 species